GACGAACGCUGGCGGCGUGCCUAACACAUGCAAGUCGAGCGAGUGAAUCUCGCUCGGGAGGGAAGCGAGCAGCGGACAGAAGAGGCACGCGUUGGCAAUCGGAGUCAUUGAGGGGAAUCGCGUUUCGAAAGGAAGAUUAAUUUCGCAGAAGCGUGUAGGGUUGUAUGAAGUGGCAUGUAGAGGAGCAAUCCGCUAUGAGAUGGGCCCGCGGCGCAGUAGCUAGUUGGUGAGGUAACGGCUCACCAAGGCGACGAUGCGUAGCCGACCUGCGAGGAUGAUCGGCCACAUUGGGACUGAGACACGGCCCAGACUCCUACGGGAGGCAGCAGUGGGGAAUAUUGCACAAUGGGGGAAACCCUGAUGCAGCAACGCCGCGUGAGUGAUGACGGCCUUCGGGUUGUAAAGCUCUGUCUUCAGGGACGAUAAUGACGGUACCUGAGGAGGAAGCCACGGCUAACUACGUGCCAGCCGCCGCAGUAAGAC
rnacentral:rRNA from 1 species